rnacentral:lncRNA from 1 species
CCACUCCCUGCCCCACCCGCCCUGGAUUCCCAGGUACAGAAAGGGCGAGAGGCCUUUGUUCCAUCCACUGACAAGAAGGGACGGCUGGCCCAGCCAGGGUCCCCGCAGGUGGGAUGGGGCCUCCUGCACGCCUCUGCAGGUUUGGGGGCUGCUGAGUUAAACCCCUCGCAGAGGGGCUAGGGCCAUCCUUGGGUUGUGAUGGUGUCCGAUUGGACUCCUAAAUGGUUCCUUUGAACCUUGAACCAGAAUUCUUGCAGAAUCCUAGCAAACAUACCCAGCCCUUGCAAACCAGGGCUUUAGGGUAGGAGUUGGGGGGUCUGGCGAUGACCGUUUGAAUAGAGCAUGAGUGGAUUGCUAGCCACCACUUGGUGGGGUGCACAGUGUCUGGGGACAGGUGAAAUUAGUAGCCACCCCUGUAACAAUGACUAACUUCCACGAGUGAUUCCGGCAGGCCAGGUGUCUUUUCAGCAUGUUUUGUGGGUGAUUUUAUUUUUAUUUAUUUAUUACUAUUAUUUUUUGAGACAGAGUUUUUUGCUCUUGUUGCCCAGGCUGGAGUGCAAUGGCGUGAUCUUGGCUCACCACAACCUCUGCCUCCUGGGUUCAAGUGAUUCUCCUGCCUCAGCCUCCUGAGUAGCUGGGACUACAGACAUGCACUACCGUACCCAGCUAAAUUUGUAUUUUUAGUAGAGACGGGGCUUCUGCAUAUUGGUCAGGCUGGUCUCGAACUCCUGACCUCAGGUGAUCCACGCGCCUCGGCCUCCCAAAGUGAUGGGAUUACAGGUGUAAGCCACUGCCCCUGACCUAUUUUAUUUAUGUACUUUUUGAGAUAGUCUCGUUCUGUCUUCUAGGCCAGAGUGCAGUGACGCGAUCAUGGCUCACUGCAGCCUUGACCUUCUGGGCUCAAGCAGUCCUCUCACCUCAGCCUCCCAAAGUGCUGGGAUUACAGGAAUGAGCCACCGUACCUGUCCUAGAAAGAUGAAAGGAUCAACACUCAGGACCCCAACCACAAGCCCAAAGAGGGAAGCCUUGGCAGAUAAUAGUAGUAAUGACAAUAAUAACCCACAGCAUCGUCAGGCAUCAUGCAGCUCUGUGAGUGCAAUCCCACAGCAAGCCCCAAAGGUAGGCACUCUUCUCAUCUUACAGAGGCACCCAGGGGCUUGGUGACUUCCCAAGGCCACACAGCCUGCCAACUGUGCUAAGUGGUGACCUGAUGCCUUGAAUGGUAACCACACCAUCUGGCUCAAAACCACUGGCCAGCACUGCCUCUCACAGAGAUGCCUGUCCCAUCCAAUGUGGAUAAAUGAGCAUAGAGAAGAGAGAGGCUGAAGGAAGGCCCAGCUACCCAUCCAGCUGCAGGAUCCCUGCUUUUAAUCCUCAGAACCUCCCUGUCCCUGAGGGCAGAUGUAACGAAAGAAGGUUUGAAUCUUCUAGUUUUAUCUGAAAGGACACAGCUGGCCCUGAAUGCCGUUCACCCAAUAACCCACACGGGAGAGAUUCCAGAUGUUGUCUUAAUACCCGAGCCCCAGCUCCCACUUACCCUCUUUCCUGGGCUUUGAUCUCAUGAGUCUUAAUCCCCGCUGGCGACCUGGCCUUCAUCCACCUGUUUCCGUCCACUAUCCGGGCAGGCAGCAAUGCCAGCCUCUUUGGAAUUCUUUGGCCUAAACACCUGUUCCCAGCAACGAUUCCAGUUCCUGAAACCGCCUGCUUUCCCAAGGGAUGGCACCAACACAGCUGGAGUGAGGCUGUCACUGCUCCCUCCCGCAAAUGUCCCGAAAUCAUCAAAAAAAAAAAGAAAGGAAAGCUGAGUUAAUACCCUGCAAUCAAAAGUCAGGAGAUGUGUCUGUUUAAUAACAAAUUAGAUUAUUUCUUCCAAAGUGGACAAAAUAUGAUUAAAAGCUGAGAUUCUUAUUAUACAUCGAGAAAAUUUAACUCCCUACAAAAACAAAGAGUUUUGCUGUAGUUCACUCCAAGGUUUUGCAAUGCAAACGACCACCAAUGAAGACUUAGGAGCCUGCCUGGAUGGUGGCUUUGAGCAUGGGCUAAGCACCCAGCAGACUAAAUUGGAGCUCACUAGCUGUGUGGCUCUGUCCUCCAACCCCUCUGAGUCUUAUUCUCUUCCUUCCAACAUAUAACCACAGAUGCUGUGAUACUGCACGAGAGAAACUCUUGGGGAUGAAUUCCUGUCACUAACGCCAGCUCCUCUCAGUCACACACGACAGCUCCUCUCAGUCACUCUUCUCUUUAGACUUCAGCAAGACCAGCGGGGCUCAGUUGUGCCCGUCUGUACCCACAGCUCUCAAUCCCAGGUCUAGGGCUUAGGUCAGGGAGAAGAUGAAAUGAGCCCAAGGAGGGAGGAAUAGAAAUAGGGGCACAGGGCAGAGAAGCACAAGGCAGUGGGGUUGGGAGGAACUGGUGUUGUGGUCCCUCCUUCAGCUCUUUCUUGGAAGGACACUCAGGAGUGUCCCAUGGAGAUACCCACGGUGUGUCUGCUCCUGCACAGCCCCUCUGGAUGCUGAUAGAGUCGGUUUAAUGUUUGACCUGCCUCACGGGCCUUGCUUCACUUUUCCUGUGCAUCUGGCCUGUCCUCCAUGAGCUCUGCAGCCAGGAUGCAUGGUCUUUGAAUUUCUGUGGAGCGUGCCCUUCCCAUCCACGUUUGUAUCUUGACAGUGCAGAGGAAAGAGGGCAGCUUCCUUCCCCUGGCAGCUGAGCCCUGAGUCUCCUGUACUGGCCUGUCUUGAAAACUGCACCUGAGUUUCUUGUAUAACAAAUAGGGUUCCAGAUUUCAAAGCUUCAUAGACCACUGUCGGGGAUGGGAACAGCCUUGAGAAGUCACCUGCUUCGAACCAAUUCUCUGUUCUCUGAAGCCACAUAAAUGGAUGCAGCAUCAAUGACUUGAUCUUUUUUUAACUGCACCCUCUGCAGGCAGAGAAGGGGGCAGGAUUGAAUUCCGCGUGCACGCUGUCCUUUGCUGACCUUUUCAGUCCGUGCAGGCGAAAGGUGCAAAGUCCCCGUGGGUGAGGCAGGCAAGAUGCAGAGGGCUUUGGGGUGGGUGGGGUUGUUAGUCCCUAAGCUCAUAGGUCCCCAGAUAACUGAGAGCUGCCUCAGUGCUCCCUGGUUGGACUUAAUGUAGUCUGAAGAGACGAAAACUCCUGGUCAGUCUUUCCCCGGCCCUCCUACCUCUGUGGUCACAUCACCCAGUCGCCACCGACCUUCUCUGGAGGAAAAUAAACCCCAAACUCUUGACAUUCAGUUCAUCUAGAGUUGCAAAAUUAAAGUUUAAACAGGAAGAAACACUCACUGUGAAGGGAAGGCACCUGCAAGCCCUGGGGUCUGGGCAGAGGGGAGCCUUUGAAGUUUCAGAGCUGGGUUCCUCGUCACUCUGCAGUUGGCAAAUGAAUUUUCAUUCAGAGAAAAUCAAAUCGCUUUGGAAGGUGGCUAAUGUGGGAAGAAGAUGGGGGUUAGAUCACUGAGGUUGGAUCUGUUGUGUGACACCUGAAAUGGUUUUCCUGAAUUCGGAGUGCCCAGGCCAGGUCUUUUUGUACUUUGCUUUGUUUUUUGUUCCUGAGACAGGGUCGCAUUUGGUCACCCAGACUAGGGUGCCGUGGUGCAAUCACUGCUCACUGAAGCCUCCAUCUCCCAUGCUCAAGGAUCUUCCCACCUCAGUCUCCCAAGUAGCUGGCAUGCGCCACCACACCAAGCUAAUUUUUUUUUUUUUUUUUUUUUGUAGAGAUGGGGGUCGUGCCAUGUUGUCCAGCUGGUGUUGAACUCCUGAGUUCAAGUGAUCCUCUUGCUUUGGCUUCCCAAAGUGCUGGAAUUACAGGUAUGAGCCACUGCAUCUGGCCCAGUCUGGCUUUUAAAUGGAGAUGACAAUAAGCCCAGGGGAGUAUUGGUAAGGCCUGAGCACUGAGCUGCCUCCUUCCCUGCAGGCCUGGUUUUGUAAAUAUCAGUCUGGCAGCAGGUCCCUUUCCCCCAGGGAGCUUCACAAAUCAUACAGUAACCAGAGCUCCUGAAACAGAAGGCCAGGUGGGACACACUGCAGCAGGAACUGGCUCACCACCAUCCUGAGUCCCACAUCCCAAGAGGCUGUUUAAAUUAAAACACAGCCUAUGCAGGUAAAGUCUCCAUGUAGGUCCUGAGGUGGCCUCGCUCUCUGUGGACCCUGGGGCUCUGUGGCCAGUGGGCACCCCUCACAGUUGGUUUCUUUCUGGAGGAUUCUCCCUGCUGAGUGUGUGCUUCCUGAGGGCAGGGCCACCUCUCAGCCCAGUCUGGGGAGUGACGGGGUGAGACGUGGAUGGGAGAAGCCUCUGGGUUGGCCAGCCCUCAGCAGGCAUCUGAUUUCAUGAUCGUCUGGGCUCUCUAUGCAUGAGCUGUCUCGGUGGUUCACUUGGGGUGGCUCAGAUGAACUCCAGGGUGAGCUGGCAUCUCUGGUCCUCCCUUAGAGCACCUCCAGUCUUACCCCGAGAGUUCUUGGUACCUUCCGGGUGCAUUCAGCUUCCAGAGCCUGUGGAAGGGCUGCAGGA